GACAGAGGGGGCAAGCGUUGCUCGGAAUUACUGGGCGUAAAGGGCGCGUAGGCGGGAUGGCAAGUCGGUCGUGAAAUCCCUCGGCUCAACCGAGGAACGUCGAUCGAUACUGCUGUUCUUGAGGAUUGCAGAGGAGACUGGAAUUCCCGGUGUAGCGGUGAAAUGCGUAGAGAUCGGGAGGAACACCAGAGGCGAAGGCGGCGACCUGGACAGGUACUGACGCUGAGA
rnacentral:rRNA from 1 species